GGACCCGCACAAGCAGUGGAGUAUGUGGUUUAAUUCGAAGCAACGCGAAGAACCUUACCAGGUCUUGACAUCCAACGAACUCGCUAGAGAUAGCAAGGUGCCCUUCGGGGAGCGUUGAGACAGGUGGUGCAUGGUUGUCGUCAGCUCGUGUCGUGAGAUGUUGGGUUAAGUCCCGCAACGAGCGCAACCCUUACUGAUAGUUGCUACGCAAGAGCACUCUAUCGGGACUGCCGUUGACAAAACGGAGGAAGGUGGGGAUGACGUCAAAUCAUCAUGCCCCUUAUGACCUGGGCUACACACGUACUACAAUGGCUAUUAACAACGGGAAGCGAAGAGGUGACUCGGAGCCAAUCCAAAAAAAUAGUCUCAGUUCGGAUUGCAGGCUGCAACUCGCCUGCAUGAAGCCGGAAUUGCUAGUAAUCGCGGAUCAGCAUGCCGCGGUGAAUACGUUCCCGGGUCUU
rnacentral:rRNA from 1 species